UCCCUGGUAGCUUAGCUGGUAAAGAAUCUGCCUGCAAUGUGGGAGACCCAGGUUCAAUCCCUGGGUUGGGAA
rnacentral:tRNA from 1 species